UACGGAGGGAGCUAGCGUUGUUCGGAAUUACUGGGCGUAAAGCGCACGUAGGCGGCUUUGUAAGUUGGAGGUGAAAGCCCGGGGCUCAACUCCGGAACUGCCUUUAAGACUGCAUCGCUUGAAUCCAGGAGAGGUGAGUGGAAUUCCGAGUGUAGAGGUGAAAUUCGUAGAUAUUCGGAAGAACACCAGUGGCGAAGGCGGCUCACUGGACUGGUAUUGACGCUGAGGUGCGAAAGCGUGGGGAGCAAACAGG
rnacentral:rRNA from 1 species